CCAAAGUCCGAUUAUAUCAACUUUUACUUUUUUUCUUUUUAGAAUAAAUAAGUGGAAAUUAUCCAUUUCCCACUUAUUUAUUCUAAAAAGAAAAAAGUAAAAGUUGAUAUAAUUGGACUUUGGCC